GUUGUAUACUCUUGGGCUCUGUGUGUUUGUGUGCGUCUGUUGUAUACUCUUGGACUCUGUGUGUUUAUGUGCGUCUGUUGUAUACUCUUGGGCUCUGUGUGUUUGUGUGCGUCUGUUGUAUACUCUUGGACUCUGUGUGUUUGUGUGCGUCUGUUGUAUACUCUUGGACCCUGUGUGUUUGUGUGCGUCUGUUGUAUACUCUUGGGCUCUGUGUGUUUGUGUGCGUCUGUUGUAUACUCUUGGAC